UACGUAGGGUGCAAGCGUUAAUCGGAAUUACUGGGCGUAAAGCGUGCGCAGGCGGUUUUGUAAGUCUGUCGUGAAAUCCCCGGGCUCAACCUGGGAAUUGCGAUGGAGACUGCAAGGCUAGAAUCUGGCAGAGGGGGGUAGAAUUCCACGUGUAGCAGUGAAAUGCGUAGAGAUGUGGAGGAACACCGAUGGCGAAGGCAGCCCCUGGGUCAAGAUUGACGCUCAUGCACGAAAGCGUGGGGAGCAACAGG
rnacentral:rRNA from 1 species